GACGAACGCUGGCGGCGUGCCUAACACAUGCAAGUCGAACGGGGUUAUUUCUUCGGAGAUAACUUAGUGGCGAACGGGUGAGUAACGCGUGAGAAACCUGCCUUUCAGUGGGGGACAACAGUUGGAAACGACUGCUAAUACCGCAUAAUGUUAUUUGAGGGCAUCCUCGGAUAACCAAAGAUUUAUUGCUGAAAGAUGGUCUCGCGUCUGAUUAGCUAGAUGGCGGGGUAACGGCCCACCAUGGCGACGAUCAGUAGCCGGUCUGAGAGGAUGAACGGCCACAUUGGGACUGAGAUACGGCCCAGACUCCUACGGGAGGCAGCAGUGGGGAAUAUUGGGCAAUGGGCGAAAGCCUGACCCAGCAACGCCGCGUGAAGGAAGAAGGCCUUCGGGUUGUAAACUUCUUUUAGCAGGGACGAAAACUGACGGUACCUGCAGAAAAAGCAACGGCUAACUACGUGCCAGCAGCCGCGGUAAAAC
rnacentral:rRNA from 1 species